GAGUUUGAUCAUGGCUCAGAUUGAACGCUGGCGGAAUGCUUUACACAUGCAAGUCGAACGGCAGCACGGACUUCGGUCUGGUGGCGAGUGGCGAACGGGUGAGUAACAUAUCGGAACGUAUCCAAUAAUGGGGGAUAACUAAUCGAAAGGUUGGCUAAUACCGCAUACGCCCUACGGGGGAAAGCUAGGGACCUUCGGGCCUGGCGUUAAUGGAGCGGCCGAUAUCUGAUUAGCUAGUUGGUGGGGUAAAGGCCCACCAAGGCGACGAUCAGUAGCUGGUCUGAGAGGACGACCAGCCACACUGGAACUGAGACACGGUCCAGACUCCUACGGGAGGCAGCAGUGGGGAAUUUUGGACAAUGGGCGCAAGCCUGAUCCAGCCAUUCCGCGUGAGUGAAGAAGGCCUUCGGGUUGUAAAGCUCUUUCGCAAGGGAAGAAAACUUAGAUACUAAUAUUAUCUGAGGUUGACGGUACCUUGAUAAGAAGCACCGGCUAACUACGUGCCAGCAGCCGCGGUAAUACGUAGGGUGCGAGCGUUAAUCGGAAUUACUGGGCGUAAAGCGUGCGCAGGCGGUUUUGUAAGUCAGAUGUGAAAUCCCCGAGCUCAACUUGGGAACUGCGUCCGAAACUACAAGACUAGAAUAUGUCAGAGGGGGGUAGAAUCCACGUGUAGCAGUGAAUGCGUAGAGAUGUGGAGGAUAC
rnacentral:rRNA from 1 species